rnacentral:rRNA from 1 species
UACGUAGGGUCCGAGCGUUGUCCGGAAUUAUUGGGCGUAAAGGGCUCGUAGGCGGUUUGUCGCGUCGGGAGUGAAAACACCGGGCUUAACUCGGUGCUUGCUUUCGAUACGGGCAGACUAGAGGCAUGCAGGGGAGAACGGAAUUCCUGGUGUAGCGGUGAAAUGCGCAGAUAUCAGGAGGAACACCGGUGGCGAAGGCGGUUCUCUGGGCAUGUCCUGACGCUGAGGAGCGAAAGUGUGGGGAGCGAACAGG